rnacentral:rRNA from 1 species
UACAGGGGUGCAAACGUUGCUCGGAAUCAUUGGCGUAAAGCGCACGUAGGCGGUUCGUUAUGUCGGAUGUGAAAGCCUUGGCUUAACCGAGGAAGUGCAUCCGAAACUGGCGAGCUAGAGUACGAAAGAGGAUCGCGGAAUUCCGGUGUAGAGGUGAAAUUCGUAGAUAUCGGGAGGAACACCAGUGGCGAAGGCGGACGAUCUGGGAAGAUACUGACGCUGAGGUGACGAAAGCGUGG